rnacentral:tRNA from 1 species
GCGAAAGUGGCGAAAUUGGCAGACGCGCUAGACUUAGGAUCUAGUGGAGCAAUCCGUGGGGGUUCGAGUCCCCCCUUUCGCA